rnacentral:rRNA from 1 species
UUGAAAGGGAAACGAUUGAAGUGGAAACGAUUGAAGUCAGUCGUGCCGACGAAAACUCAGUUCUUCGAGUGCGAGUUCGUGUGUGCGGGGAGUUUAACCGCCUCCGUUGCGUGUGAUACUCGUGCUUCUAGGGCGUAUUUUUUCGUAUGGUAGGUCAGCAUCGAUUUCGAUCGCCAUAAAAUGGCCGGAGGAAUGUAGCUCCGAUCUUGUAUUGGAGUGUUAUAGCCUUUGGUAGAUGUGGUGGUUGGGAUCGAGGAUUGCAAUGAACCCCUUUGGGCUAUCCGUCUGACCUCUGAAAGUCAUUUGGGUGCCGAAAGCUUGCUUACGGUUAUUCAAAUUGGCGGUCUAAAGGUUAGAACGCGAUUAUAUUCGUUAAGGAUGUUGACGUA